rnacentral:rRNA from 1 species
GGGACGCAUGUUUUCGUCCGCCCAUAUAAGGGGAUAAAGAUCCAACCCUAUUACCUGCGCCUUCUUCCUUCUUGGCUUAUCCAUCUCUGCAAACCCGAGCUCCAGCGCCCAAGCCCGCACAUCUCACCUCAACCUUCUCCAACUAUGUCCGGAGCAGGACGCAAGUGGAUGGCCUCCUCCGUCACGGAGGGGCAGAUCCAGAAGCUGCGCAACGCCGGAUACUUGUCCAGCGACAUCGCGCACCGGCUCCCCAACGAGGGAGAGCUCAUCCCCACCCCCAAGCCCCAUGAGAGGGUAGUAUUCCUUCCCCAUUUCCUCCGCGGACUGGGCUUCCCACUCCAUCCCUUUGUCCGGGGGCUCAUGUUCUACUACGGCCUGGAUUUCCAUGAUUUGGCCCCGAAUUUCAUCCUCAACAUC